rnacentral:misc_RNA from 1 species
CUCUCUCUCUCUCUCUCUCUCUCUCAGCCAUACCUUCACUUGGACCUACCAAUGCAUUAUUCAUUUCGUAUUAACUUAAUUUAAGAGAUUAACACCUCUCAGCCUGCAUCAACAUUUAAUAAUCUGAAUAAUGGCCCCUGGUCCCUUUGCAUUAAUUAGCCUUGAAACAUUAUUAAUUUAACACCAUAUACAGCGCUUGUCUCUGCAUGCCCGUGUGCUUUAAUGACUAAUUUAAGUGCUCUAAUAUCACACGCCACUAAUAAUUCAUAUGAUUGUGGUCUCCCCACCGUGUACUAGUACAACGUACCUCAUAGAUAUAAAACUGGGAAGCAUUCAUAAAGUUAUUAACCUCUCGUUCGACCUGGACUUGAAUGGUGUGUGUGACGUAUAAAACUUGUGCUUUCAAACAAAGGAAAAGGGAUUGGGACUCCUCAAGAAACGACCUUCUAUUAUUAGACCGGUCAGUCCCCAGUUUGUAACUUGAAUGUGUCGCUUUGACAGUCCCAUUGGUAGAUAAAGCCUCAGGAUACUUUUCUUAAGUUGAAGAUUCCUUCAAGAACCUAGCAGAGCGGAGUGUUAGCUGUCAAUACAGCUUCGAAUACGGUGCCAGAACAAGAGACGUUGUCACUAUCCAGACUGGUAAUAAGCAGGCCCUGCCUUUCAGAGAGUACUGGAAACCCUCCUCUUUUAUCAACAUACCUUUGUCGUUUCAAGGUUAUUUGCGUUAUUGGCAAUGGUAAAAACUUUCUGAUAAGAAGGAUUCUCCAGUAAGCCUUGAAACCUAUGGGGUCUGUACUUAAAUCUAA